AGAAGCUUCUGCUUAGCCUGACAAACAGUUCGGCCCCUAUGGGGUCUAUGUAGGCUGAAUAAGGCAUUCUUUAUAACCCAGCGACUCCACUCCUGGGAACAUCCCCAGCAGAAACAAGUCCUGUGAUCAUCGGAAGACAUGCACUAGAAUGUUCACAGCAGAAUUAUUCAUCUGGGCUGUAACUGGAAACUACCAAACGCCUGUCUCGGUAAAUUGCAAAACCAGCCACAAUCCUUUGCAGUCCAUCCCAUGAAGAAGCAGAGUCAAUUUCCUUUCCCCUGGAACCUGGCCUGGUCUUGCAGCUUGCUGUGGCCAAUAGGACACGGCAGAAGCGAUGCGUGCUGGUUCCAAGACUUCGAGAGAUGUUGCACGCUCCCCUUUGCUCUCCGGGAACUCCGCAGUCACCGUGUGAGAAGUCCCGGCUGCCCGGCUGGAGGAUGGGUGAGCUUCCCCAGCUGGCGUCUUCCUCGACCAGCCAGCCCCAGCCACACGGAUGCAGACACGCGAGCGAGCCCAGCCGGCAUCAGCCCAGCUCAGCCCGGCCCAGAAGAACCUCCUAGAUGACGCCCGUCCAAAUCUACCAGCCGACGCACGUGCUAAAGAGCCCAUGGGAUUGCAUCUCACGCGGAGGACGGUGUGUAAGGGGAACAUCACAAACAGCCAACACGCCCUGGAAAAUUCCUUGGGAAGCUGUCAUGUGGGGGCCAACUGCUAUCUCUCCAUAAAUCCGGUAUGGCCAGUUUUUCCACCCGCGUUGGGACAGAUCACUAUUUCUCCUGUCAGGCUCCAGACGAAGCAGAGGUUUGUGUGUAGGGGUCACACAGCAAGCCGCAGUAGGCGUUGGACAGAGGCAGGGGCUGGGGCUGCGGAAGAGGGCUGUGAUCACCAGGUCCGGGGGGGGGAGGGAUUGUCUGGAAUAAAGACGGGCGACCAUGCUCUGCAAGGUGGAACCCCGGGGUGCCGGCAAGGCGCUUAUGGCUUGAGGGUGGGGUGAGGGUGCAGCUUCUCCAGCAGGCUGGCUCUCUCCUUAGCCUCGACAUUCCUUCCUGAACUUGUAGAGUGUCCCGAACCUGGCUGGAGACUGGAUGUUUCCAGGUACUGCAGGUGGGCCGGGGCGGGGGAGGGGGGGUGGGGGAGCUGAGAAAGAGCCUCGCACAGACUUGCAUUCAGUGAAUAUUCACUGAGCAACUACUAGAGGCUGUGCUUGAGGCAGAGAGUGAGGUAGAGAGAGAGGGGAACAGAGACAGAGAAGAGACUGAAAGACAGAAGAAGAAGAGCAAAACCGAGGCACGUUUCGUCCACUCAUUUCACAAGCGUUAACUGAGCACCUACUUUGUGUUAGAGGCAGGCUCGGAGUCGGGGCAGAGAGAAGCCGGUGGACUGAGUUUGUAGCUGGGCAAAACCUGCCCCCUUGGUUAGAGCCGGCUAUUGUAGAAACACACACAGACUGAGGUCUUCUGACUGCAAAGCGCCCCCCGCCCCCAUCCCUCCCGUGGAUGGCUCCUGCCUUUGCCCGCUAACCUCCCACCCCUCAUAUUCUACCCUGAGGACCUCGCCUGGGGCUGGGUGGGCAGCGCGGGGGUCCCCGGGCCUGGUGGCUCACCAGGAGUGUCUGGGGGACCCUCAAAGAAACCAUAGUGUCCCGGGACCCCAGCGUUCGCCAUCGGGCCGCGGGGUUGUGGCCCAGGGCCUGGGAAUCUGCAGGUUAGCAGCUGUUCCCGCUGGGGCUCAGCGGGCGUGGGAGCCCAGGUGGUGGACACGUGUCCCCGGGGGGCCUCCCCUGGGGCUCCCGCUGCUGUCACAGCCACACACGUCCUUCUGCAAACACACACGGCCCAUGAUUGAUUCUCUGCCGUUCCCAGCCCAGCGGGUCUGAUUGAAUGGCCGACGUGCUGCCCAAACACCCUCCUGGAACCACUUCCCUGCCCUCUGCCCCGGAAGUCGUUUGUUUGUUUUUAGACGCAGCCUUUAUGUCCAGCUGAAUGGCCACCGGCCUCCUGGGGGCCGCCCAUCCAAGCUGGAGCCAGGCUGGAGACUGUCUGGGGCUGGGGCUGGGGCUGGGGUGGGCAGUGGCCGUGUGCGGUCACUCGGUGAGCCUGGGGAGGACCCCCGUGCUUCCUGCACUCACCUGGGCAUCUGUCCCAUGUGGACACACACGGGGGUGGCCCUUGAGUAGCUAUUUCUCCCUUCCCUUAACCAGGGAAGGUGUUUAUUAAGCACCUGAGCCAGGCUCUUGCUGUUCCGGUACUUUCUGGUCUCUAGGAAAGAAUCCACGGGCCACUUUUGUUGUUAAAAGACCAGCCUCUGCAACUCAACAGACUGGGGCUUGAAUCUCAGUCUCACCCCUCCCUCCUGUGCCUCAGUUUCCUUAUCUGCCCCAUGGACGGGAAGGGAGGCUGGGAGGGUUCCUGACAUCCUGGAUGAGAGAGAAAUGCCCCGCACCGGCCUGGCACACACUGGGCACUCAGAACCUCUUCCUUUCUCCCUCUCCCCCAAUCCCCACUUCUCUUGGUCUCUGCCACAUGGCCUCCCGUCCCACCCUGACCUGCACUGGAAAAGAAGGGAGUGUCUUGGGCCAGGAGUCCAGAACCUCAGGUCCUGAUUCUCACUUUGCUGUACUCUGCUGUGUGAUCUCAGGCAAAUAUCUGCCCCUCUCUGGUCUGGCCAGAUCAUCUCAAAGUCGCUCUCAGACUCUGGGUCCGGGUUGUGAGUUCCUGGGGACAGUGGAACUUUCUGUCUUGUCUGGUACAUAGUAGGUGCUCUGGGAGUGAACAUGGCAAUGGGGUAAGUGCCUCAUUAGCCAUAUCUGGGCACUAAAUUGUACAGAUUUGGUUGGAGGGCUUUGGCUCUCAGAAGGGGGCUCUUUCUCUUGGGAGAGCUGUGCAGGGGCGGGGUGGGAGAGGAGGAGGUUCCUGUAUUUCUUCUUUUCACGGAAACCCUGUAGCCUGGCCUCCUCACUUUUGGUGAGGCAAAAAUGGGGAUGGAAUGGGGUUAGGGGGCCAGUUCUAGCUGUUGGGCUGGAGGCAUGCCUGACCCUGCCCUCCCCUCCCCUCCUAGGGAUCUCCUGGGCUUUUCCCUCCUCCCUUCUGGGUUUAGCAGGUCUGGGAAGCAGGGCCUUGCACUCAUCUGUUACUUCAUCCAUCCAUCCAUCCAUCCAUCCCCUUUCUCCGCAAGCACAGCUGUGGAUUUGCCCUUAAGAGACCCAGCCUGGUGGAGGGAACAGCAGGUCAAGAGGCAGUGAUGAUUCAGGCUGUUGGGAGCUGUGAUGGGGACUCACAGGGCAUGUGGGAGCCCACGCGAGGCUCCUGAAUCAGCCUGGGGGUGUUGGCUAUCAGGACGGGCAGCCUGGAGGAGGGGGUGUUUAAUAAAAACCCUGCAGGAGUUAAUGGGGAGGAGAUGAGGGGUGGAAGCGUUUUGGGUCAAGGGAAUGAACAGCAUGUGUAAAGUUCUGAGAAUGGCACUCUAAGGAACCAGAAGCAACUUGAGGACAGCAGCAAGGAUCAUCUUCCCCGGAUGUGUUAGCUCACUGAGCCCUCCCAGCCAUCCACUCCCAUUUUACAGACAAGGAAACUGAGGCCGGGAGAGGCAGAGACUUGCCUGAGGCCUCAGGCUGCCUGAGCCCGGCCUCCUCAACCAGCCAACGAGCUCAGCUGCAAAGGGGCAAGAGAGGCAGGGUUGACAAGCCUCCUCCCAGAGCUCCCCUGGGCUGGGCUGGAGGCCCCGGGGAGGCCCCCGCGGGUGGGGGCAGAGCGUGGGAAGGCAGUAAACUGGUUUGGAGCGGCAGGGCUUUCCUGUCGCUGCCGGUGGCCCCCUGCCUUUGUCCUCAUGUGUCACUGAGGAAUGUGGCUAAGGUCUGGAUAAAGGCAUCUUUGUUUGGAGGCCUCAGGAGGGGGAGGGGGAGGACGGAGAGAGGGAGGAGCAUGGCCAGGAAAGGGUUACAGUCCCUCCCUUCUGGUGGUCCCAUGUCAGGUCUGGGCAGGCAGCACCCGUGCCCUGUGGACACCCACAUCCUCUGCUAUGCUCUUAAUGCACUUUCUGACUUUAGAUGGGUAGCUUCCUUUUCUCUGAGACUCAGUUUCCACAUCUGGGUAAUGGGACUCCGCUUCCAACCUCUACGUAUGGUUUGUUUCGAGGCUCCAGCCAAACAAGCUGCGUGGUUGACUUGUUGGGCCAGGUCUACUGAUGAAUGAGAAAAAGGCAGUCCGGAGAGGUAAAAAGACUUCCCCAAGGUCAUGCAGCUUGACCUUGC